CAUACGAGAUCUAGUACGGUCUCGUGGGCUCGGAGAUGUGUAUAAGAGACAGGGUUAAUAUUCCUGUACUGACGAGAUAUGCGUGGCAACACAAGCCUUGUUUCUGACGCUUCCGGCUAGGCAGACAAUGACCGUUGUCAUUGUUAACUUGAACAAGUCAGGGGAGUAUUGUAAUGAUGAGAACCUGAUUAAGCAAGGAUGAGCAUCUCGUAUGAGGUGUUCUGCUCAGGCCCGGAGCCCGUGAAAAGGGAACAAGGAAAAAUUCUCGUUAACUAUACCCAGAACCAGCACAGGUGCCCCUAGGUGAGUAGCCUAAGGUGUGAGGGAAUAAUCCAAGUAAGGGAAUUCGGCAAAUUAGCCCCGUACCUUCGGUAUAAGGGGUCCCUGCUUAUGUGUGUUAGUCAUGCGUUUGCAGGGUGCAAUAACUAGGGGAACCCGACUGUUUAACAAAAACUUAACCUUUCGCAAGUCCGUAAGGAUGUGUAUGAAAGGUGACGUCUGCCCAGUGCCGGGAUCUAAAACUUCUGUUCAAGGAAGCUAAGGACCGGUAAACGGCGGGGGUAACUAUAACUCUCUUAAGGUAAGCACUAAAGUUGCCUUAGUAAAAUCUGGCUAUAUGCUGGGAAAUCUCUGUAUCUUAUGUUAGGAUACUCCGUCGGUGACGACGAAGCGACCCCUAAAAACACAUAAGUGGAGAUAAUCAGCAGGAAAGACUUCUCGUCGAGAAGAAUCCUCAGAGACUAUACGCCGGACAUUUGAUGCUGAGGCUCAAAUGAAGAUAUAGUCCGACCCCAGCAGCGAUGUUGGGAGGUGAACAGAAAUGUUUGCCCGCCAUUGAAAGAUGGUUAGUAAUUCUUCGGAAUGAAAGUAACAAACGUGAGCGAAAUACCUUGUCGUUUGAUUGACGACUUGCAUGAAUGGCGUAACGAGGUUCCUACUGUCCCUACUUGGAAUCCCCUGAACUCUCUGUUCUGGUGCAUAGGCCAGAGACUCCUAGUGGGAAGUGAAGACCCCGUGAAACUUUACUGUAGUUUGUUGUUGCGAUGUGAGUGCCUCUGUGUAGCGUAGGUGGUAGUCGCCUGAAACUUGGCCGCCAGGUCAAGCGUAGACACCAAUGAAACACCACUCUCUGUUACUUACGUCGCUAACUCUUGAAAGAGAGGACAUCAGCAGAUGGACAGUUUGGCUGGGGCGGCACCCUCUUGAAAAGAUAUCAAGAGGGCCCAAAGGUUGGCUCAAUCCGGUUGGAAAUCGGAUGUGGAGUGCAAGGGCAAAAGCCAGCCUGAUUGGAUUUUCAACAACAAAAAAUCCAAACACGAAAGUGUGGCCUAGCGAUCCUCUGACGCUCUCUGAUGGGGCGCAGAUGUGACGGAAAAGUUACUCCGGGGAUAACAGAGUGGUCGCGCCCGAGCGCUCAUAGCGACGGCGCGUCUUGCUUCAUCGAUGUCGGCUCUACCUAUCCUGGGCGUGCAGAAGCGUCCAAGGGUGGGGGUGUUCACCCAUUAAAAGGUAUGUUAGCUGGGUUCAAUACGUUGUGAGACAGUAUGUGUAAUAUCUACUAGGAGUGUUCAUUGUCUGAGGGGAAGGAUCACUUAGUACGAGAGGAACGGUGGUUCGGCGCCUCUGGUUUACCUGUUGUCCGACAGGGCAUGCAGGGCAGCUACGCGCUGAGAGAUAAGUGCUGAAAGCAUCUAAGCACGAAACUCUCCUCGAAGAAGAGACGAUACGAACUCCCGUAAAACACGGGUUUGAUAGAGUUGGCGUGUAAGUGCGAAGGUAACGACGCAUUCAGCGUGCAACUACUAACCGUUCGGCUUUUGAAUC
rnacentral:rRNA from 1 species